UCGGGAAUUUUGGGCAAUGGGCGAAAGCCUGACCCAGCAACGCCGCGCGAAGGAUGAAGUAUUUCGGUAUGUAAACUUCGAAAGAAUAGGAAGAAUAAAUGACGGUACUAUUUAUAAGGUCCGGCUAACUACGUGCCAGCAGCCGCGGUAAUACGUAGGGACCAAGCGUUGUUCGGAUUUACUGGGCGUAAAGGGCGCGUAGGCGGCAAUUCAAGUCAUCUGUGAAAUCUCCGGGCUUAACUCGGAACGGUCAGAUGAUACUGCUUUGCUAGAGUGCAGAAGGGGCAAUCGGAAUUCUUGGUGUAGCGGUGAAAUGCGUAGAUAUCAAGAGGAACACCUGAGGUGAAGACGGGUUGCUGGGCUGACACUGACGCUGAGGCGCGAAAGCCAGGGGAGCAAACGGGAUUAGAUACCCUGGUAGUCCCUGAGCGGGCUGGCAAGGCGCAU
rnacentral:rRNA from 1 species